UACGAAGGGGGCUAGCGUUGCUCGGAAUCACUGGGCGUAAAGCGCACGUAGGCGGACUCUUAAGUCGGUGGUGAAAUCCUGGAGCUCAACUCCAGAACUGCCUUCGAUACUGGGAGUCUCGAGUUCGGAAGAGGUGAGUGGAACUGCGAGUGUAGAGGUGAAAUUCGUAGAUAUUCGCAAGAACACCAGUGGCGAAGGCGGCUCACUGGUCCGAUACUGACGCUGAGGUGCGAAAGCGUGGGGAGCAAACAGGAUUAGAAA
rnacentral:rRNA from 1 species